GGCUGAAUAGUUUAAAAUAGAAUGAGAGUUUUGUAAUCUUUUAGUACCCAUACUGGGUUUUAGCCA
rnacentral:tRNA from 1 species